AUGCACGCUGGCGGCGUGCCUAAUACCUGCCAGUCGCGCGAACAGACGAGGAGCUUGCUCCUCUGACGUUAGCGGCGGACGGGUGAGUAACACGUGGAUAACCUACCUAUAAGACUGGGAUAACUUCGGGAAACCGGAGCUAAUACCGGAUAAUAUAUUGAACCGCCUGGUUCAAUAGUGAAAGACGGUUUUGCUGUCACUUAUAGAUGGAUCCGCGCCGCAUUAGCUAGUUGGUAAGGUAACGGCUUACCAAGGCGACGAUGCGUAGCCGACCUGAGAGGGUGAUCGGCCACACUGGAACUGAGACACGGUCCAGACUCCUACGGGAGGCAGCAGUAGGGAAUCUUCCGCAAUGGGCGAAAGCCUGACGGAGCAACGCCGCGUGAGUGAUGAAGGUCUUCGGAUCGUAAAACUCUGUUAUUAGGGAAGAACAAAUGUGUAAGUAACUAUGCACGUCUUGACGGUACCUAAUCAGAAAGCCACGGCUAACUACGUG
rnacentral:rRNA from 1 species